rnacentral:rRNA from 1 species
UACGUAGGGUGCAAGCGUUGUCCGGAAUUAUUGGGCGUAAAGAGCUCGUAGGCGGUCUGUCGCGUCGGCUGUGAAAACCCGAGGCUCAACCUCGGGCCUGCAGUCGAUACGGGCAAACUAGAGUACUGCAGGGGAGACUGGAAUUCCUGGUGUAGCGGUGAAAUGCGCAGAUAUCAGGAGGAACACCGGUGGCGAAGGCGGGUCUCUGGGCAGUAACUGACGCUGAGGAGCGAAAGCCAGGGGAGCAAACGGG